CUGCGAAUGGCUCAUUAAAUCAGUUAUCGUUUAUUUGAUAGUACCUUACUACUUGGAUAACCGUGGUAAUUCUAGAGCUAAUACAUGCUAAAAACCUCGACUUCGGAAGGGGUGUAUUUAUUAGAUAAAAAACCAAUGCCCUUCGGGGCUCCUUGGUGAUUCAUAAUAACUUAACGAAUCGCAUGGCCUUGCGCCGGCGAUGGUUCAUUCAAAUUUCUGCCCUAUCAACUUUCGAUGGUAGGAUAGUGGCCUACCAUGGUAUCAACGGGUAACGGGGAAUUAGGGUUCUAUUCCGGAGAGGGAGCCUGAGAAACGGCUACCACAUCCAAGGAAGGCAGCAGGCGCGCAAAUUACCCAAUCCCGACGCGGGGAGGUAGUGACAAUAAAUACUGAUACAGGGCUCUUUUGGGUCUUGUAAUUGGAAUGAGUACAAUUUAAAUCCCUUAACGAGGAACAAUUGGAGGGCAAGUCUGGUGAACACUCAGCUAGUUCCAUUCUGCUGACGCCAGAGAUAGUAGGGCCUCGCCAGCUUGUACGGGCGAGGUUAUGCCUGCUAGUCGAUGCAUCCACAAACAGCGAUGGGUGGAUGCCGGCAAGGUGACCUGGUACGGGGAAGCCUAAGGGCGCGACUUUCUAAAGGGAUGGUCGAGCACGCCUAUGGUAAUCCCGUGGCGAGCCGGAGCGAUCCGGCCGUCGUAACGCGCGGAAAGGCACCGGCUGUCGCGGACAAACGCGAUGGCUCAAGGACGUGCUGUCCCAUCCGAAAGGAUGCCUCAUACUGGAGCGCCCAUCGCGUAAGGUAUGAGGGGGAGCGAGCGCUCCUGGGUAAUGAUAAACGGCCAGCAGCCGCGGUAAUUCCAGCUCCAUAGCGUAUAUAAAGUUGUGCAGUUAAAAGCUCGUAGUGACCUUGGGUCUGGC
rnacentral:rRNA from 1 species